GCCCGGGUGGUGAAAUUGGUAGACGCAGGGGACUCAAAAUCCCCCGCCGCAAGGCGUGCCGGUUCGAUUCCGGCCUCGGGCACCA
rnacentral:tRNA from 7 species